rfam:Candidatus Curtissbacteria bacterium RBG_13_35_7 RBG_13_scaffold_8332, whole genome shotgun sequence.
GCGGGUGUAGUUUAGUGGUAGAAUGUCUCCUUCCCAAGGAGAAGAUCGUGGGUUCGAAUCCCAUCACCCGCU